UUUUUCACUUUUCUAACAUUUAUAUUAUUAAAAACAGUGGUAGUCAAACGCAUAAAUUUUUUAAAAUGUAAUAUGAUGUUUGAUCAAUGAUUUCAUUUUUGGGCAGGCAAAGUGCUGCACAACAGAGGUUUACUGUUUCCUUGAACACUGAGAACUGUAAUACACUUGUUUCUGUCGUAAACUGAAAUGUAAAACCAAAAGCAGAAAAACUGUCUUCAACAUUGAUAAUAAUCAGAAAUUAUAGAACUUAGAAUGAUUUGUGAAGAUCAUGUGACACUGAAGACUGGAGGAAUGAUGCUGAAAAUACAGCUUUGAUCACAGGAAUAAAUUACAGUUUAACAGAUAUUCACAGAGAAAAUAGUUAUUUUUAACUGUAAUAAUAUUUCUCAAUAUUGCUGUUUUUAUUCAAUUUGAUCAAAUAAAUGCAGCCAUAAUGAGCAGAAGAGACUUAAUUAAAAAUUAAAUAAUCAAUCUUACCGAUUCUAAACUUUGAAAUAAAUAAAAGCUUAAUUCGAAAUGUCAUUGGUUAGUUUAUGAAGAACUGCAAACCCAUUUUUGGAUGACAAAAUAACUAGCCCAGCUUAUUUUUUUAAGUUAAAUCUGCAGUCGUGUGACUUGCUAUUUUGGAAAAUUGCAGACCUCAUGUAACACGAGCAGAAAAUAAAACAUUCUCAUGUAAUGCUUAUUCUGACCUCCUGAGACUGAACGCUUCUUUUCACUAAGCAUUUGUUUUAAAAACGUGUUUCACACUCCUGCACAAAAACUGCAAGUCAUUUUUCAACUUGUUUUCAAACUUCUGCUUCGACUGUAAUAUGCACUUUUUUUAAAAUGUUUUGAUUAGAUCAACAGGAAAGCCGACAACUGAAGUGGUGCUGAAGUCAUUAAGGUUUGAGAAGUGCUGGAAAGUGUGUUUUUAUCUCCUCGGCAUGGCCUUGAGAAAGAGAAUCAGUCCCUGUUAAAGACAUGAGCGCUUCUCCUCCACAGCUCGACCGAGCGUAAUGUUUUUAAGAGUGGAUUUCCUCCCGCCUCUUCAGCCUUUAUUGUGAUGAAAGGAAGCCGUCCUCCUCCUCUGUCCCCCUCAGGCUGUCUCACCUCUGCAGAGGCUUUCUGAAGCGUGCUCUCUUCCCGUACGAGGGUCUGCUCACAGCUGCUGUCCCGAGCCAGCAGAAGAAACGUGUCCCCGAGCAGACAGUCUCCGUCUCGCGGGAGCAGCUUCCUGUUGGCGAAGGGAUCCGGGUGGCAGCACCAGUCGUCCACUAAUGCAUUCCAGUUUCCAUUGGGCAGAGGAAGCACUCGCCCAAAAGCCCUGUAGGAGUCAGAAGAUAGUCUGAUGAUAGCUGAACACCGUGCAUCACUAUCCUUCGAUGCAUUACUUCACCAAAUCAAUGGAAAUAAGAAGGCAUGAAUAGUAACCUGUCUUGAAGCACCAUGGAGCCACAAGACUGGCACAGGAAGGAGUACGUCUCAGCGACCCGCAGCUGUCCAAUCACACUGCACGGAGCUUCUGCAGAGGAAACGCACAACACACUGAACUGAACACAUGAUGCUGGUUUGGAUCACCAAUGAUUCAUCUGAUGAUACUGAUUAGAUCUGUAGAGAGCACAGUGUUCAUUCAAAUUAAAAUAUUUCUAUUUGUA